UACGUAGGGUGCAAGCGUUUGUCCGGAAUUAUUGGGCGUAAAGAGCUCGUAGGCGGUUUGUUGCGUCGGCUGUGAAAUCCCGAGGCUCGACCUCGGGUCUGCAGUCGAUACGAGCAAACUAGAGUGUUGCAGGGGAGACUGGAAUUCCUGGUGUAGCGGUGAAAUGCGCAGAUAUCAGGAGGAACACCGGUGGCGAAGGCGGGUCUCUGGGCAACAACUGACGCUGGAGGAGCGAAAGCGUGGGGAGCGAACAGG
rnacentral:rRNA from 1 species